AGCCGGAGCUAGCCGUCGAAGGUGGGACAAAUGAUUGGGGUGAAGUCGUAACAAGGUAGCCGUAUCGGAAGGUGCGGCUGGAUCACCUCCUUU
rnacentral:rRNA from 1 species